GGACCCGCACAAGCGGUGGAGUAUGUGGUUUAAUUCGAUGCAACGCGAAAAACCUUACCAAGGUUUGAAAUCAUUUCAAAACUCUUUGAAAGAAGAGCCUCCUUCGGGAUGGAAUGACAGGUGGUGCAUGGCUGUCGUCAGCUCGUGUUGUGAAAUGUCAAGUUAAGUCUUGUAACGAGCGCAACCCAUGUCUUUUGUUAGCUGUUUACAGUGCUUAAAAGAGACUGCCGCUCUACAGCGGAGGAAGGUGUGGAUGAUGUCAAGUCAGCAUGCCCCUUAUAUCUUGGGCUACACACGUACUACAAUGGUAGGGACAAUGAGUCGCAAACCUGCGAAGGC
rnacentral:rRNA from 1 species